rnacentral:rRNA from 1 species
AUUGAACGCUGGCGGCAGGCCUAACACAUGCAAGUCGAACGGUAACAGGAAGAAGUUUUCUUCUUUGCUGACGGGUGGCGGCCGGGUGAGAAAUGUCUGGGAAACUCCUUGCUGGAGGGGGAUAACUACUGAAAACGGUAGCUAAUACCGAAUACCUUCGAAAGCCCAAAGAGGGGGACCUUCGGGCCUCUGGCCAUCGGUUGUGCCCAGCUGGGAUUAGCUAGUAGGUGGGGUAACGGCUCACCUAGGCGACGAUCCCUAGCUGGUCUGAGAGGAUGACCAGCCACACGGGAACUGAGACACGGUCCAGACGCCUACGGGAGGCAGCAGUGGGGAAUAUUGCACAAUGGGCGCAAGCCUGAUGCAGCCAUGCCGCGUGUAUGAAGAAGGCCUUCGGGUUGUAAAGUACUUUCAGCGGGGAGGAAGGGAGUAAAGUUAAUACCUUUGCUCAUUGACGUUACCCGCAGAAGAAGCACCGGCUAACUCCGUG